rnacentral:misc_RNA from 1 species
GAUGAAGAACGUAGCGAAAUGCGAUACGUAAUGUGAAUUGCAGAAUUCAGUGAAUCAUCGAAUCUUUGAACGCAUAUUGCGCUCUCUGGAAUUCCGGAGAGCAUGCUUGUUUGAGUAUCAGUAAACACCUCAACUUCCAUAUCUUUUUUGAAAUGGGAGUUGGACUUGAGUGAUCCCAACGCUUUUCCUCACCGAAAAGUGGCGGGUUACUUGAAAUGCAGGUGCAGCUGGACUUUUCUCUGAGCUAUAAGCAUAUCUAUUUAGUCUGCCUAAAAAACAGAUUAUUACCUUUGCUGCAGCUAACAUAAAGGAGAUUAGUUCUUGUGCUGACUGAUGCAGGAUUCACAAAGACGGCUUCGGCCGACUUUGUAAACUCGAUCUCAAAUCAAGUAAGACUACCCGCUGAACUUAAGCAUAUCAAUAAGCGGAGGA